UACAGAGGGUGCGAGCGUUGUCCGGAAUCACUGGGCGUAAAGGGCGCGUAGGUGGCCCGACAAGUCCGUGGUGAAAGCUCGACGCUCAACGUCGAGUCGGCCAUGGAUACUGUUGGGCUGGAGCACUGUAGAGGCUCAUGGAAUUCCGGGUGUAGCGGUGGAAUGCGUAGAGAUCCGGAAGAACACCGGUGGCGAAGGCGGUGAGCUGGGCAGUUGCUGACACUGAGGCGCGCGAGCCUGGGGGAGCAAACAGG
rnacentral:rRNA from 1 species